UACGUAGGGACCAAGCGUUGUUCGGAUUUACUGGGCGUAAAGGGCGCGUAGGCGGUGCGGUAAGUCACUUGUGAAAUCUCUGAGCUUAACUCAGAACGGCCAAGUGAUACUGCAGUGCUAGAGUGCGGAAGGGGCAAUCGGAAUUCUUGGUGUAGCGGUGAAAUGCGUAGAUAUCAAGAGGAACACCUGAGGUGAAGACGGGUUGCUGGGCCAACACUGACGCUGAGGCGCGAAAGCCAGGGGAGCAAACGGG
rnacentral:rRNA from 1 species